AGCUGCAGUCCUCCUCCUCCUCCUCCUCCUCAUACGCAACAAACUUGGCAGUGAACAGCGAGUCUGGAGAGAGGACCUGGGUUUUGAGGUGUAAUCCUUUCGUCUUUCAGUGCUCAAAUACCAAUGAUGCCUUCAAACACGCAAGUGUAAUGGUGAAACAGCUACACAGACUUUGACUCUACAACUACAACUGCGCUAUGACAUGUCACCACGAGCUGCAGAUUCACACUCUCCAAAGUUUGAAAGGGUCCCCACGUCACUCUGCUGAUCUCUAGCCACUAAGAAAUUCCUUACAUAAGAUUCCUGUGCAAUGAAUUUCAAGUUCUAUAGAAUUACCAGCUCUCCUAUGCACUGCUUAUAGCAAAACAUAAAGUAUUAACUUCUGGAUUUAGAUUGCAUUUGUAUCUUAAAAAAAAAACAAUCUACCAAUUUUCCUAUUUUCUGUGAAGCAAAAUACUGUAUUGUAGUAAAGAAAUUUAGGCUGUACUGUUGGGUUCAUGUCAGUAAAUAAUGAAACACCCUAGAAAAAUUAAAGCUGUCUUCUCAAAAAGAUAAACGCAGUUAACGUUCUCUUUAACAUGACCUGG